AUGUAAAAGCCCACUACACCACCUUCUUCAUCUUAUCUCUUUUUCCUCGUUCUCCCCUUCUCUCCCUCACGGCUCACGCUCUCCCAGUGCCGCCGCUUCUUAGGCAGCGCCGGCGACGCCGCCGCUCUCCCUAGCGCCGGCUACCGCGCCCCACUCCGGCGACCCCUCAAGCAGAUGUCCCGCAGCCGCGAAUCGGUUUAUUGGCUCCACGCUUCUCUGCCCCUAAGCUAACCCCAGCCACCAGUCUCCUGCUGCUGCUGCCGCCGUGGAGAUGGCUGGUGGAAACACAGCGCAACUCCGGUGGCUGCAUCCCUUUCCCCCAUAGGAUCUACUCUCCUCCCCUAUUUUAAUUUUUUGGUUACCUCGGUUGAUUCUACCGUGAUUGAAAAAUGUGUGGUUCAGCUCCUCCUCCAGAACUCCAAGUCUUCUCUUCUACUGCUGCUCUUCUGGAUCUAAGGUGAUUUUGCUAGAACUGAGCUUCUCCACCUUGAGCUUGACUGAUUGUUUCCCCCCUCUUGAACUGAACCCCCAUGCUCUACUUGGAACUCAGGUAAUUCUCCUCCUUGGCUCUUGCUCUACUGGUAAUAUUUGACUGCUUCCUGACAUCUUCCUUGAUCUGCUUCUGGUGAUUCUCUUCCUCCUCUUCAGACUGAUCCUCUUGCUUGAUUUUCGCUCCAUCUUGCUUCUUGACCUGAGUUUCAUCUCUUCCUAGAGCUGAAACCCUUCUUCAUCCAAGAACUAAACAACCCUGCUUCUCCUUCAGAUUUGGUUUUCCUCUCUCUGAUUACUUGGCCAUGGUUACUACUACUGUUGGUUCAUGUAUUGGUUUGAGCUGGACUUCAGUUGAGCUAUUUCUCUCUGGGUGGAGCUAACACUUAAGCUAAUUUUUCCUGGAGCUUGGUUCUAUGGUUGUAACUACUACUGCCGCAGCUGCUGCUUGUUUUGGUUUGCACGACCAACCCGAGACUUGGGUUGGAAAUGAUUCACACAAAUUAUUUUAUCAAUGAUAAAUAUUGUACUGGUGAUUCACCUGCUUGCAUGGCUAUUCCCAUCCUGUACUUGUGACACCUCAACAUGGCUUGUUCGGUGGGAUAACCUAAAGCUAUUUGUUAAUUUCCUUAAUUAAUGGAAAAUUGGUAGAGUCUGAGGUGUUUGAUACUUUUGCACUUGAAUCCCUCAAGUCUGGUAAAAUUGGAGGUUACCAUUAGUUUAGGGACUGAUUUGUAAUUUGUUCUAUAACGCAGGGUCCCUUUUUGAAAUAUUACUAAUUACACGAUAUGUUCUCGGCUAAUGUAUUUGUACAAUAUAUGAAAUGCAUACUGUAUAAUAAGAUUUUAAAUAUAUAACUAUAUCCAUGUAUGUAUGGAUGGUUGCAAAACUGUACUGGUCAAUUGUGAAUAAAGUGCUAUAGCUUCCAUGGUGA